AUCUUUGCAAACGCAAUAGGUUCUCCACUAAGGAGAUUAAAAUGGGAACCGGGUGCAAAUCCCGGACAGUCCCGCUGCUGUAAUCGGCGUUAUUAGACAUGAUCAAAGUCACUGAGCGUUAUCGGGAAGACACAUGUUCGUAGGCCGUAAGUCAGAAGACCUGCCAUUGCAGAAACUCAUUUC
rnacentral:ncRNA from 21 species